rnacentral:rRNA from 1 species
GCGGUAAUACGAAGGGUGCAAGCGUUACUCGGAAUUACUGGGCGUAAAGCGUGCGUAGGUGGUCGUUUAAGUCUGUUGUGAAAGCCCUGGGCUCAACCUGGGAACUGCAGUGGAAACUGGACGACUAGAGUGUGGUAGAGGGUAGCGGAAUUCCUGGUGUAGCAGUGAAAUGCGUAGAGAUCAGGAGGAACAUCCAUGGCGAAGGCAGCUACCUGGACCAACACUGACACUGAGGCACGAAAGCGUGGGGAGCAAACAGGAUUA